UACGGAGGGAGCUAGCGUUGUUCGGAAUCACUGGGCGUAAAGCGCACGUAGGCGGAUUGCUAAGUCAGGGUGAAAUCCUGGAGCUCAACUCCAGAACUGCCCUUGAUACUGGCGGUCUCGAGUCCGGGAGAGGUGAGUGGAACUGCGAGUGUAGAGGUGAAAUUCGUAGAUAUUCGCAAGAACACCAGUGGCGAAGGCGGCUCACUGGCCCGGUACUGACGCUGAGGUGGCGAAAGCGUGGGGAGCAAACAGG
rnacentral:rRNA from 1 species